rnacentral:rRNA from 1 species
UACGGAGGGUGCAAGCGUUGUCCGGAAUCACUGGGCGUAAAGGGCGCGUAGGCGGCCCGGUAAGUAGGGGGUGAAAUCCUGCGGCUUAACCGCAGGGCUGCCUUCUAAACUGUCGGGCUCGAGCGCGGUAGAGGCAGAUGGAAUUCCCGGUGUAGCGGUGGAAUGCGUAGAGAUCGGGAAGAACAUCAGUGGCGAAGGCGGUCUGCUGGGCCGUUGCUGACGCUGAGGCGCGACAGCGUGGGGAGCAAACAGG